CCUACGGGUGGCAGCAGUGGGGAAUUUUGGACAAUGGGCGAAAGCCUGAUCCAGCAAUGCCGCGUGCAGGAUGAAGGCCUUCGGGUUGUAAACUGCUUUUGUACGGAACGAAAAGCUUCGGGUUAAUACCCUGGAGUCAUGACGGUACCGUAAGAAUAAGCACCGGCUAACUACGUGCCAGCAGCCGCGGUAAUACGUAGGGUGCAAGCGUUAAUCGGAAUUACUGGGCGUAAAGCGUGCGCAGGCGGUCUUGUAAGACAGAGGUGAAAUCCCCG
rnacentral:rRNA from 1 species